AAGAUGAUGAGGGACCUUGUUGACCAGAAAUUUGAUCCUCUUGCUGUUGAAGAUGAUGAUGAGGAGGAGGUGAUGAUGAUGAUUCUGAAAAGAGUGGGAUUGGAUCAAGAGAGUGAGAUUCCAUCACCAAGAGAGUUAGGAAGUAGGUCUUUUGGAGCGAGCAACAAAGAAGCAUGAUCUUGUAUGAUAAAGAUUUCAUGUAUUAAGUAUUAUAGAUAUAUGUUAAGACAAAUUAUUGAAAAAUGUUAUCUUAGAUACUUUGUUUUUGGAUUAUGAUUUUUUAUUUUCGGAGAAUGUGUAUGAAUUAAAAAUCUUGUUAUGAUGUUUGAUUCAAGGUUAUGCUUUUUAGUUAUUAUGAGAUUUUAAAAUUUGAGUUCUAAAAA